AGUGAACGCUGGCGGUAGGCCUAACACAUGCAAGUCGAACGGCAGCACAGUAAGAGCUUGCUCUUACGGGUGGCGAGUGGCGGACGGGUGAGGAAUACAUCGGAAUCUACUUUUUCGUGGGGGAUAACGUAGGGAAACUUACGCUAAUACCGCAUACGACCUACGGGUGAAAGCAGGGGAUCUUCGGACCUUGCGCGGUUGAAUGAGCCGAUGUCGGAUUAGCUAGUUGGCGGGGUAAAGGCCCACCAAGGCGACGAUCCGUAGCUGGUCUGAGGGGAUGAUCAGCCACACUGGAACUGAGACACGGUCCAGACUCCUACGGGAGGCAGCAGUGGGGAAUAUUGGACAAUGGGCGCAAGCCUGAUCCAGCCAUACCGCGUGGGUGAAGAAGGCCUUCGGGUUGUAAAGCCCUUUUGUUGGGAAAGAAAAGCAGCAGGUUAAUACCCCGCUGUUCUGACGGUACCCAAAGAAUAAGCACCGGCUAACUUCGUG
rnacentral:rRNA from 1 species